GGGCGAUUAGCUCAGUUGGUUAGAGCGCUUCCCUUACAAGGAAGAAGUCGGGGGUUCGAGUCCCUCAUCGCCCACCA
rnacentral:tRNA from 1 species